ensembl:snRNA
GUGUUGUACAAAAUGAGAUAAGGGUAACUCUCCUCUUGACAAGGAUUCAAGAGACCCUUGGACCUCACGACAGAGCUCCAGUUAAGGCAUUGCCCCUAAUUUGUGCCAUCUAGCCAGAGACUUUU